UGGGGAAUAUUGGACAAUGGGCGAAAGCCUGAUCCAGCCAUGCCGCGUGUGUGAAGAAGGUCUUCGGAUUGUAAAGCACUUUAAGCUGGGAGGAAGGGCAGUAAGUUAAUACCUUGCUGCUUUGACGUUACCAGCAGAAUAAGCACCGGCUAACUUCGUGCCAGCAGCCGCGGUAAUACGAAGGGUGCAAGCGUUAAUCGGAAUUACUGGGCGUAAAGCGCGCGUAGGUGGUUCAGCAAGUUGGAUGUGAAAGCCCCGGGCUCAACCUGGGAACUGCAUCCAAAACUACUGGGCUAGAGUAUGGUAGAGGGUGGUGGAAUUUCCUGUGUAGCGGUGAAAUGCGUAGAUAUAGGAAGGAACACCAGUGGCGAAGGCGACCACCUGGACUAAUACUGACACUGAGGUGCGAAAGCGUGGGGAGCAAACAGG
rnacentral:rRNA from 1 species